AUCGCCAUGACAACAGAAGAGAUUUCUGUCUGUACUUCCCACAUUAAUCCUAAGAGAAGAGGAUCCCUCCAAGGGAAGGCCAAUGUUUGCCUACUCAGCAUAGCACAGUGGCAGGGUUCCCUGUAUAUGAUUGUGAGCACCAUCAUCUCAGACACAAAACUAAUUUUCAGCUGCGUGGACAUGGGUUAGCUCUUUCUAUUAGAAGUGAGCUGACAAUGACACUAAACGGUACUUAGCUCUUCUAUUACUGAAAAUCACUAAAGAGUUUAUAUCCCUGUCCUAGAGACUAGGGGAAAAGAGAGAGAGAGAGACAGACAGACAGAGAUGGAAAGGGAUAGAAACAAAAAGGAUGAAUUAAAGCUGUCUUACUGGGGAGAUAAUAUUACCUACCCCAUAUGGCUGUUAAGAGGACUAAGUAAUUAUUUCUAAAUCUCCUAGCAGCGCCUGAUACAUAGUAAGUAUUCAAUGAAUGUUAACCAUUGUUAUAUUUACUAUUUUUUUUAGAGGCAUUUGUGUGGCUUAAUUCAUAGUGCCUUUCUUCAACCUCACACCCCUCUGCUCCACCCCACAAACUAUAAGCAACAAAUGCAAAUACCAAAAAAAGGUGAAAUACAUUUUUUUCUGUUUUUAAUGAAUAUUAAGAAAAUCCAAUUACAGCACAGCUUAGGUGUGAGCUCCAAACUGAAUGGGUUUUAUUAAGUAUUUGAUACAGUCUAUGCCCCAUAAAUAUGUGUUGCAUUGAAUUAAAGUAAAUAUCCAUCAUAAAGGGUGCCCAAUUUCAGUUCUGGAGGCUUCAUGACUAUUUUCAUCUUUCCUUUUGCAGUUUGAGAAGGAACUCCUUUCCGUAAUCACGAAACUAUCAUUCUGAAUCACCUCUUAAAAACAUCAUCUGCAGUGACAUAAUAACAUUCCUU
rnacentral:lncRNA from 1 species